CCACGCCAACGUACGUAACUCAGCGUAACUUUACGCACCCUUGCGCACUCUAUCCUGCUCUAUCCCAGCUUAAAACAGUUUGAAAAGAAAAGUGUUCCAAUAUAAGUUGGGAUUUUCAUAUAUGCAUGAUAAAUUCAGUAAAGUAUGAAGAUUCAGUAUCAGAUAAGGUAUUAAUUUCCAACAAAGGUAUUAGUAGUACUCUUAUCAAAUACAGAGACGAAGUAAUAAAUGAAUAAAACAUGUUAAACGUACAUUAUUUUGAAUAUAUUUCAACUUUUAAUCAAUACAUAAAGGCGACUUCGACCAAACUCCUAUUUUAACUUAGUCAACGAUUAAUUUAAUCGAUAAAAUUAUUUGAAACAAAAUUUCACUGUAUAAUAACGAAAACUGUAAUUUAUCUAUUAUCAAAAUGUAAAGUACAAGUUAAUUAAAGUUUGAACAAAAUUACUCUAAGAGCGAGCUUGCCUAUAAUUCUUAAUACAGAUAACAUAAUAAAUUUAUUUUUUAAUUGAAAAGAAAGAUGAAAUUAGGAACAACAAAUUGUAUAGUUAGAAAUUAAUUGCAAUAAUUCUG